GCGGCUGAUUAGGUAGUUGGUGAGGUAAUGGCUCACCAAGCCUUGGAUCAGUAGGGGGGAUGAGAGUCCUUGCCCCGAGAAGGGCACUGAGAUACUGGCCCUAGCCCUAAGGGGUGCAGCAGUUGCGAAAACUUUACAAUGCGCGAAANNNGUGAUAAGGGAAUUCCAAGUGCUUGGCCUUUGAGUCAAGCUUUUGCCGAGUGUAAAAAUCUCGGAGAAUAAGUGGUGGGUAAGACGGGUGCCAGCCGCCGCGGUAACACCUGCGCCACGAGUGGGAGCCACUUUUAUUGGGUCUAAAGCGUUCGUAGCCGGAGUAUUAAGUCUUUUGUGAAAUUGUUGCGCUUAACGUAACAUCGUGCAAGGGAAACUAAUACUCUAGAGACUGGGAAGAGAUAGAAGUAUUCCAGGGGGAGCGGUUAAAUGUUAUAAUCCUUGGAAGACUACCUGUGGCGAAGGCGUCUAUCUAGAACAGGUCUGACGGUGAGGGACGAAGGCUAGGGGAGCAAAACGGAUUAGAUAUUGAGAAAAUCCUUUAUUGGAUUUUUCAAGAACUGUUGUUCUUGAGAUGCCAAAAAUGUGAAAACAUUUUUUAGCAUUUCAGAGUUAGUCUCGCAAUUUGUUCAAUAACAAACUACAUGCAAGAUUAAUAAAGAAAAAAUUUUAUGGAAUUUCUCGACUAACUACCCGAGUAGUCCUAGCAGUAAACUCUGUGAACUAUGUGUUGCAUAAUCUUUGAGAUUGUGCAGUGCCUAAGCGAAGGCGUUAAGUUCA
rnacentral:rRNA from 1 species